rnacentral:tRNA from 1 species
GGUUCUAUAGUGUAGCGGUUAUCACUCCGGAUUCUGAUGAUUUACCCUUCAGGACAUUCCGGCAACCCCGGUUCGAUUCCGGGUAGGACCU